AGUGAACGCUGGCGGCGUGCCUAAUACAUGCAAGUCGAACGGAGUGACGCACGGGUGAGUAAUGUAUAUCUAAUCUUCCCUACACUAGAGGACAACAGUUGGAAACAACUGCUACUACUCUCUAGUGUAGGUUGAGGCUAUAUUGUAUCAGCUAGUUGGUGAGGUAAUGGCUCACCAAGGGUAUGACGCAUAACUGGUCUGAGAGGAUGAUCAGUCACAUUGGAACUGAGACACGGGACAGACUCAUACGGGAGGAAGCAGUAGGGAAUAGUAGUCAAUGGGGGAAAACCGGAAGGAGCAACGCGGCGUGGAGGAUGACACGUUGCGGAGCGUAAAAUCAUGUUGUUAGGGAAGCGGUACCUAACGAAGAAGCACCGGCUAACUCCGUGCCAGCAGCCGCGGUAAUAC
rnacentral:rRNA from 1 species